rnacentral:rRNA from 1 species
CCUACGGGAGGCAGCAGUGGGGAAUUUUGGACAAUGGGGGAAACCCUGAUCCAGCCAUGCCGCGUGCGGGAAGAAGGCCUUCGGGUUGUAAACCGCUUUUGUCCGGGAAGAAAUGACCUCCCCUAAUACGGGGGGUUCCUGACGGUACCGGAAGAAUAAGCACCAGCUAACUACGUGCCAGCAGCCGCGGUAAUACGUAGGGUGCGAGCGUUAAUCGGAAUUACUGGGCGUAAAGCGCGCGCAGGCGGUUCCUUAAGUCUGAUGUGAAAGCCCCCGGCUCAACCGGGGAGGGUCAUUGGAAACUGGGGAACUUGAGUGCAGAAGAGGAGAGCGGAAUUCCACGUGUAGCGGUGAAAUGCGUAGAGAUGUGGAGGAACACCAGUGGCGAAGGCGGCUCUCUGGUCUGUAACUGACGCUGAGGCGCGAAAGCGUGGGGAGCGAACAGGAUUAGAUACCCUGGUAGUCCACGCCGUAAACGAUGAGUGCUAAGUGUUAGAGGGUUUCCGCCCUUUAGUGCUGCAGCAAACGCAUUAAGCACUCCGCCUGGGGAGUACGGCCGCAAGGCUGAAACUCAAAGGAAUUGACGG